GUGCAGCAGGCGCGAAAACUUCACACUGUGCGAAAGCACGAUGAGGGAAUCCCAAGUGCUUGCACGUAAGUGUAAGCUGUUUCUCUGUUUAAAACGCAGAGAGAGUAAGGGCUGGGGUAAGACGGGUGCCAGCCGCCGCGGUAAUACCUGCAGCUCGAAGUGGUGACCGUUAGUUAUUGGGGCCUAAAACGUCCGUAGCCGGUUUAAUAAAUGCCUGGGUAAAUCGUGUAGCUUAACUAUACGAAUUCCGGGUAGACUGUUAAACUCGAGACCGGGAGAAGUUAGAGGUACUCCUGGGGUAGAGGU
rnacentral:rRNA from 1 species